rnacentral:rRNA from 1 species
AUACGUAGGGGGCGAGCGUUGUCCGGAAUGAUUGGGCGUAAAGGGCGCGUAGGCGGCCCGGUAAGUCUGGAGUGAAAGUCCUGUUUUUAAGAUGGGAAUUGCUUUGGAUACUGUCGGGCUUGAGUGCAGGAGAGGUAAGUGGAAUUCCCAGUGUAGCGGUGAAAUGCGUAGAGAUUGGGAGGAACACCAGUGGCGAAGGCGACUUACUGGACUGUAACUGACGCUGAGGCGCGAAAGUGUGGGGAGCAAACAGGAUUAGAUACCCUGGUAGUCCACACUGUAAACGAUGAAUGCUAGGUGUAGGGGGUACCGACCCCUUCUGUGCCGCAGUCAACACAAUAAGCAUUCCGCCUGGGGAGUACGGCCGCAAGGUUGAAACUUAAAGGAAUUGACGGGG